AUUGAACGCUGGCGGCAUGCCUUACACAUGCAAGUCGAACGGCAGCACGGGAGCAAUCCUGGUGGCGAGUGGCGAACGGGUGAGUAAUGUAUCGGAACGUGCCCAGUCGUGGGGGAUAACGCAGCGAAAGCUGUGCUAAUACCGCAUACGAUCUAUGGAUGAAAGCGGGGGAUCGCAAGACCUCGCGCGAUUGGAGCGGCCGAUAUCAGAUUAGGUAGUUGGUGGGGUAAAGGCCCACCAAGCCGACGAUCUGUAGCUGGUCUGAGAGGACGACCAGCCACACUGGGACUGAGACACGGCCCAGACUCCUACGGGAGGCAGCAGUGGGGAAUUUUGGACAAUGGGCGCAAGCCUGAUCCAGCAAUGCCGCGUGCAGGAUGAAGGCCUUCGGGUUGUAAACUGCUUUUGUACGGAGCGAAACGGCUUCCACUAAUACUGGGGGCUAAUGACGGUAC
rnacentral:rRNA from 1 species